rnacentral:rRNA from 1 species
ACGGAGGGUGCGAGCGUUGUCCGGAAUCACUGGGCGUAAAGGGCGCGUAGGCGGCAUGCCAAGCGUGUGGUGAAAGCCCGGGGCUCAACCCCGGGUCGGCCGUGCGGACUGGCGUGCUCGAGCACUGUAGGGGCGGGUGGAAUUCCGGGUGUAGCGGUGGAAUGCGUAGAGAUCCGGAAGAACACCGGUGGCGAAGGCGGCCCGCUGGGCAGGAAGACACCGCAAGGUGUCGGCUGACGCUGAGGCGCGACAGCGUGGGGAGCAAACAGG